rnacentral:rRNA from 1 species
AUUGAACGCUGGCGGCAUGCCUUACACAUGCAAGUCGAACGGUAACAGGUCUUCGGAUGCUGACGAGUUGCGAACGGGUGAGUAAUGUAUCGGAACGUGCCCAGUCGUGGGGGCUAACGAAGCGAAAGCUGUGCUAAUACCGCAUACGAUCGAAGGAUGAAAGCGGGGGACCUGCAAGGGCCUCGCGCGAUUGGAUCGGACGAUAUCAGAUUAGGUAGUUGGUGAGGUAAAGGCGCACCAAGCCUGCGAUCUGUAGCUGGUCUGAGAGGACGACCAGCCACACUGGAACUGAGACACGGUCCAGACUCCUACGGGAGGGAGCAGUGGGGAAUUUUGGACAAUGGGCGCAAGCCUGAUCCAGCAAUGCCGCGUGCAGGAUGAAGGCCUUCGGGUUGUAAACUGCUUUUGUACGGAACGAAAAGGUUCUCUCUAAUACAGGGGGCUCAUGACGGUACCGUAAGAAUAAGCACCGGCUAACUACGUGCCAGCCGCCGCCGUAACAC